UGAGGAAUUUUGCGCAAUGGGAGCAAUCCUGACGCAGCAACGCCGCGUGGGUGAUGAAGGCCUUCGGGUUGUAAAGCACUUUUUGAGGGGAUGAGGAAGGACAGUACCCUCAGAAUAAGCCUCGGCUAACUACGUGCCAGCAGCCGCGGUAACACGUAGGAGGCGAGCGUUAUUCGGAUUUACUGGGCGUAAAGCGCGUGCAGGCGGCUCGAUAAGUUGGAUGUGAAAGCUCCCGGCUUAACUGGGAGAGGUCGUUCAAUACUGUCGGACUAGAGGAUGAGAGAGGGAGGUGGAAUUCCGAGUGUAGUGGUGGAAUGCGUAGAUAUUCGGAGGAACACCAGUGGCGAAAGCGGCCUCCUGGCUCAUAUCUGACGCUCAGACGCGAAAGCUAGGGUAGCAAACG
rnacentral:rRNA from 1 species